rnacentral:lncRNA from 1 species
GGACCACCAUCGCCCAGACCCGGGCGGGCGCCAGGAGUGAGGGUGCACGGAGAGGGGGCAGGAGCCCGAACCGGCUGAUUUUCACGAUUCCUGGAGCAUUACGCGCUCUGGGCUACUUGUUCGGCGGCUGCCUUGCAGGGCAACAAACUUCUUUCCUGACUGAAAAGAAGGGUCGCGGUGGGGUGAAGGCUGCGUCGUCGGUGCCCUGCCGCCUCCGGGGUCCAGGGCGCUCAGUUACGGCUGCGCCGACCCCGCCGGGCUGCCGGGCUGCCGCGCUCGAGGCAGUACGGCCCUCAGCCCCCGUCCAGCCCUGCAGGGGUGGGAGCCCCAGGCAGCCCCCCCUUUGCACUCCGCAGCCUCGGAGCACCGUGGUCCGGCCCCAAAACCCGAGAGGCAGAGCGCCCGGGGCAGCACGCGCGCGCCCAGGCUGGAGCGGACCCUGCCCGCCCGCGCCUCACUCACCUCAGCACCUGAGCGCGGCGGCGCCCGCCACAGCCUCCGGGUGCGGCGUCGGCACGGCCGGAGGGUCCCGCUGGAGUGGCGAAAGCUGCCUACUUGCGACCAAUCCCCGCGUUGAACCCGAAAUGGCUCUCUUCAUCCCCAAGUCCAAACCUCGGGGUAACCGUAGAGAUUGGCAACAGUGCCCCAGCCCCUCAGGAACCCAGUGCAAAGAAAGACAUGAAGCUCAACUGCCACCUCUGCCAAGAAAGAAAGCCUCUCGCUGA